CUGGGGCACUGACUGUAUGGUGUCCAUCGCUUUUCUAAUUGGGGAAGAAGCCAAUUCCGAAUACCCGGGAGAGGUUAAAUAACAAGCAGAGGCCAGAGCUCAGAAACCUCUCCCACCUAGCCCCAUCCAGCCUCCCUCUCACCGCUCGCUUCAGUUUAAUGCUGCCUUAGAGAUUGGCAGUCUGCCCUCAGAACUCCCUGACCUACGCAGGGAGCCUUGGGAGGGUGGUUGGAUCCCACCCAGAACAUUCCUUGUGUGUUUCCACCCAGUUGCUGUGUACCCGGUGAAGUACCCUGCUGGACAUGGUCACCCGGAGCCGAAAUUUCAGCCAGGCACAGGGAUGGGAGUGGCCUAGUGUAGACCCAAGAGAUAUGCUGCUGCUUUCUCCUCUGCCUGCUGGUAGCAGGGAUUCAUUAGUGAUGCGGAGGCGCUGAUGACUCUUUAAAGGCUCCGCUGUACCCACUCCAAACCCAAGCCCCAGCCUGGGUGCAAAGGAAACUCCUUUCUUCUGCCCGAAUUUUUGCCACCAAGCAGCGUUGCCUCCUCCUCAGUGCUCUUGCUAAAAUGAAGAGAUUCUGAGGAGAAGGCGAGCUUCAAGUGGAGGCCACCUCAACGUGAAGGAGUUUAUCGUGUCUCUCUUCUGAGGGCCACAGUCGUCCUGGGAAACACUGAAGAGGAAUCGGAGUUCUCUGAGAUGGUAUGAGUGUAAGCAUUGGACGCUUUGCUUCCCAGGACGCCUGUAGCCCUCGGAAAAUGCAAUAAGAAACAUUCAGAACGGAGCAUGGAAAGCAGAUGGAUACCCAAGAGCCGAUGCAUCAAGGGGCUUCCGCAUUAUUCUCAACUGUUUUUAUUACGACAGUUUGUUAACCGUUUCUGAGAGCUAAAGUUCGAAUGGGAACUGUGGAAAGGAACUGGCCUGCCAAAUGCCUAGCUGUGUCCCUAAUGUCACAAAAGUGGGGAUGCAAGUGUACAUUUUUCUGUCUAUAGAGAGCAAGCCCACAUGAAAAAAGGAGAAGUCUCCUUCACAGUCAAACGCGUACCUUAUGUACUGUUCGGGUGGAUGUUCUUACUGAAUAAAUUUUACGUAGCAACCUUCCACUAAAGCAAAUAAUAAAUCACUCCCCAAAGCUCCAGGCAUCAGGUUCUAUCUGGGCACUAAAAGUCUGAGAAUGUCUUGACAGCGUUUUGUGAAAUCAUAAUUGCUUAGGGAAAGCGAUUCUGGAUGUCUUAAAAUGUACAGAAUUAAAGUGAAGCUGUUCCUUUGAGGAAAAUUAUCCUAA